AAGUGUUACAUGUAAUGAAUUGUCAUUGACUUUCCUGGUUUGUCCAUUUAUUAUAAAUCGGAUUAUUUUAUAUAGAAAAACAUCCUCCAAAACGUUUUUCAUGAGCUCUGAUGAAUCGAGUCCUAAGGGUCUGAUGUAUUCUGAAGGGAGAGUCACAGCAUUUACUUAAAUGGAAGCAGGUGACAUAAAGUUCAGUCAUGUAUGAGAAUUGGUCUGUGGAAGACCAAAUGGAGGCAGCACACAUCCUUUGUGGAUUGAUGACCUUGGCAAACUGGUUAUAUUCUUUGACUGGUUGGAGUACACCAAGUGACCCCUUAAGUCCAUUCCAAACUUGAGGAAAUAUCAUCACUUCAGAACUUCAGCUGACCACCCAGUGAGUGAAUUCAUGAGAGAGCAUGCCAAGGACAGUGAGAUUGAAGUUAAAAUUGACAAGCCCACAACAAUGGCUUUUCCAUGGAGAGUACCCUGAACCCAUCCAACUAAAAGGACUUAAUGCAAAAAGGCUCUGAUCCUUUAAAUAAUUGAAAAAUCUAAUAUACUGAUAUGUGAUCUUUAUAAACUAAAUAUAAGAUUUGAGAAUGAGCCCGGUACUGAGCUGAUGAAAACGUGUAUCAAUUUUUUAUUGACAAUUAUUUAUUCAAUAGAAACAUGUUCAUGUGAAAUGAAGCUAACAGUAAUUUUGAGUGAAAAACUGUGGUUUUAGCAAAUGAUUGAUAGAAGGGUGCUACACCCUGUCUUUUGUUGGUAGAGCCCCUCUGCCAUAAUGGAGACCACUAUAUGAUUAUUAUUGAUACAAACUUAAAACAA